GCUGGGUGUGGUGGCUCACACCUGUAAUCCCAGCACUUUGGGAGGCUGAGGUGGGUGGAUCACUUGAGGUCAGGAGUUAGAGACCAGCCUGGCCAACAUGGUGAAACCCCAUCUCUA
rfam:Pan troglodytes isolate Yerkes chimp pedigree #C0471 (Clint) chromosome 1, whole genome shotgun sequence.